rnacentral:rRNA from 1 species
GAUAGCGGACAACAUUGAGCCUUGAUGUGUAGGAUAGGUGGGAGGCUUUGAAGCGUGGACGCCAGUCUGCGUGGAGCCAACCUUGAAAUACCACCCUUUAAUGUUUGAUGUUCUAACGUUGGCCCCUUACCGGGGUUGCGGACAGUGUCUGGUGGGUAGUUUGACUGGGGCGGUCUCCUCCCAAAGCGUAACGGAGGAGCACGAAG